UAGCCCCAAUCCACAGCCCCGCGCCCCUCGCUCCUCCCUCCCUCGUCCGCCCCGAGCCACACGCACACCCAAUCCCCUCCCCUCCAACCCUAGCCGCCCCGCUCCCCUCCCUCUCCACGGCGCCGCCGCCGCCUCCUCCCCUUCUGCCCUGCUCUCCACCGUGCCGCCUCUUCCUCCUCUUCACUGCCCUCUCCAGCGGCGGCAAAGAACGGCGGCGCUCGAUCCGAUCUGCUGAAGAGAAAAGAUGAGAGAGGGAGAGAGACAAGGAAGGAGAGGAGGGAGAAAGAUAGAGGAAAGAGGAGAGCGAGGUGUGACGGCGGAUGAGAGAGGGUGACCGGAAGGAGCGUGACGACCUGCAGACAAAGGGCGGUGGCGGCGCCGCUCGAUUUGAUCUGCGGGAUAGAGAAGAUGAGAGGGAGAGAGAGAAGGAAGAACAUGAGAGGAGGGAGAAAGAGAGAGGAAAGAGGAGAGGGGGUCGACGGCCAACAGGAGAGGACCACCGGAAGGAGUGCCGCCGGCUCGUCGUCUUCCACCGCCGGCGUCGGCCUGCACCGGCGAGGUCGGGCGGGACCUUGCUUCCAGGGCGGCUUGACCACAGUCUACAGAACAGUAAAAAUGGAGGAUUUGGGGGCUGCUCAGUUUUGGAGUAGCAAACCAUGGAGGAUAUGGGGCUGCACGUGCUUGGAGCAGCAAGCCAUGGCAAAGAAGUAUUGCCAGGGGUGGCUGUUUGUUUACUGAAGGGGGUGUUGAUCUGCUGCCCCUUGUUCUACACUCUGUCCAAGAUAGGGAGGCAGAAGAGAGGACAUGUUGAAGAAUCAAGGGGGACAACCACUAUUCAGUUUUUCUUUGUUAUUGCAUUACAGAAUUGUAGGGUGUUUAGAUUUUAAAUGCUGGCAUUGAUCGAGCUGUUAACUGGUUUUUAGUUCUGAUUAGAUGCGAAUCAUGUUUUAAUUAUGAUGAGAUGCAGAAAUUGUUGAGACAGGGCAUGAAUGAUCCAGAUCCAUUUAUCUAAUGAGAGGUGUAUCAGAGAAAUAAAAAAUAUAUUGAACUACAGUUCGUGACUUUAUGCGAAGAAUUCUAAGGGAGCAAGUCAUUUUACUGGGGCUAAUAAACCCAUACCCCGCAUCUCGUCUGCCCCGGGUGCGGAGGCGAGCUUCCCGGCGAUGGCGGCAGCGCUGGAUUCGAUCUGCAGGAGAGACAGGGAGGUGCGGCUUCAAAUGGGAGAGGGUCUUGAGACAGCUUCACAAGUAUUUAUGAUGAUCAUUUGCAUGGGCCUGCAGAUCAGCUGGGAGGAGCAGUGGCAAGCAGCAGCAGCGGUGGCAAGUAGAGGCAGUGGGCAGCAGAAGCCCAUACGCAUCUGCUAGGCUGCGUGAACUGUAGAUCGAUUGAGUGCCCGACCAGGAUUUAACUUGGCUGCUAUAAGAUGGAGGGGUCCUCGGCCGGAAUCUCCAUCAAUUUGCGUCCUUGGGCCAUAAUCUCCAUCAAAUUCCGUCGAAAUUUGCACGAAGCGUCCAAUGUCGCCACAGAGUUUGCCGGAGGAACAAGAACAUUGGUCCGUCCAGUGUCGCCUGCAGCGGCUACACCAAAGUUGCUAUGUCUGACGAUCACACCAAAUCAGACGCUGCACUUGAACACUAUAAACAACAGAUCAGAUUUGUUGUUGUCCGGAUAAAUGUUCAGUCAUUCCCUGUUGGAACAAUCAAAUCUUGAUGUCGGUUCCCAAUUGAGUUUCCUUCUAUUUACGAACUUAGGGCCACAUGAACAAGGAUCAUGCGGACGCUACAAAACUCAUCGUGCAACACUCAACCUCUGUUAAGGCAAGUACAAUAUAGAGCUUACUUACGUGGUAUCUGGUCAUGAAUGCGACUCUGCAAGAUAUACUAGAAAACAAGUUGUAGCUAUAUUAGUUUGUGAAACAGUUAUACUAUUUAUCUUCUGUUGAUUCCAUACUUAAGUUUCUUUUUGUAACCAAAUAACUGUAGUAUUUUAGUUAUUGGAUUGUGUGUGCUCGGUCACAAUGAUAUAUUUAGUUGAAGAUAGGAAUGUUUUAGUUCAAGCAUAUGAUAACUUGAGUGCAGCAGUAGAUAAACAUUCACUUAAAAAUUCUACUCCAAAUGGACAGUAAUAGUAGUACGUGGGCAGUGUAAAAUGUGUUUUUGUUAGUUCAGUGAAAAUUAGAGAUCAACCUGAUGGUACUUCAUUUUUAUUCUAAUAUGCCAAAUGCUAUUAAGGAAAUGAAGUUUCUUCCUCGAUCAAGUUAUCAGUCCUUGGUUCACUCUUGCCCUUUGCGCUUGAUGAGACGGGUGAGGAGGAGGAGGAGGAGAGUGUGGGGGCAUCUGGAGAGGAGCGAGGGGUGAGAAGAUGAGAGGGAGAGAGAUAAGAGGAGGGACGUGAAGGGGAGAAGAGGGGUGUGGCAGGGCCGGACCUCCUGCCCGGACAAGGCACGCGGCGGAUGCGCGACGUCAUUUCUUUGGUAUUGUCUCCUCUCUACUGCUCCCCACCCAUCCCUUCUUCCAGAUCUCUUCUUCUCUCAUGUACUCCCCUGCUGGUGAACGCAAAGGGAUGGAUCUGGCCACCAGGGACAUGCUGGGCUUGCUUUCAUCCUAUAUGCGCAAGAUAGAAAAAACAUCAAGUUUAUGGGGAAAAUCUGGGCUUAAGAAUGGUUGAGUUGUGGAUAUUUUGCUCAAAGCAUUCUGGAGUCAGAGGAAUUAGCUCCAUACACCUUGUCAAUGGUGUUGCUGAACAGGAUACCACAUAAGUUGGGCUGGAUGAUGAAAAUUCUGCUCAAAUAAGAUCUAAGCGCAAGAGUAAAGACAAAUUCAUGAACCUCACACCCAUGAGCUCAGGUUUGUCCAACCUAAACAAAGCACAGACAACAGAGCUCGUUACCUCAACAUGUGAUGUUAGAGGCUCGGAAAAUCAACAAGUUCAAUGCACAAAUAUGGUUGUUGAUCAGCCUACAUGGGCUGGGAAUCUUGUGAGCAAUUCUGGUGAUGUUUCUACAUUUCUUAGAAAGCUAAUUGACCAAGGAAAAGUUAGUGUUGGUGAUAUACAAUCAGAACUGAGUCUCUCAUCUGAAUCGUUGGAAGCUGCUCUUGAGAAAAUUGGGGGCAAAUCAUGGCUGGAGCAUAUGUGAACUUGGCCUCCGGUCAUUUAUUCAGGAGAGGGAGCUACAACGGCAGGAGAAGAAUGCAACGAGGUGCGGUCUUCUGUUCGAUGCCAAGGGCCUAUCCGGCAGCGAUUUCCUCUGUACAUUUAGAAGUCACAAUAGAGAAGGUUCGUAGCCUUGGCUCCAAAGCUUCAAGCUCUUAUAGAAAUUAGAACUGAGGGCCUUUUAAAAUGAGUCCUGCAUAAUAUUGUUGUUCAGUGGGAUGCAGGAUUUUUAUUUGUCUGAUCGGCUAUCCUUGGUGCUGAUUUACGUACCGAUUUCAUCAUCAUAUGACUACAAUAAAGAAGUUGUGUGUAUAAAUAUUUCUAACUGCUGAUACUUUCAAUCAGUGAUUUCAAUUCUGUUGGCCUCCUUAAGAUUGCUUGGGAAUGUGAGGCUUAAAUUUUUUAACCC